GUGCAUGUGUGUGCGCGCGCACGUUUGCGCGUGUAGUUGGACUAGAAUAUUAUCAAUAGCAAACGGUUCCGUUCCUACUUAUUUAUUUUCGAUGAUAGAGCUUUCAAAUCGACGAUUAAUAAUUUUGAAUAUAAUCUAAGCUAUUUGGAGUAUUUAGAAAUCAAAUUUUAUACUUUUUCAAUAGUGUUCUCUCACGCAUCAAGUGAAUCAAAAAAUAAACGGAUGAAAUAAAUAAGGUGUAGUCUAUUUCAACUAGUUUAAAAAAUUUUCUAACAAAAAUUUAACUGAUUUGGAUUCCUUUUUUUCCAUUAAAUGAGCAAACGGCUAGUAUCAAUCGUUAAAAUUAUAAAUUUUGCGACCCUUUGAUCAUUAGGUCAAUGAUGUUGAAAAUGUGGAAAAUUUGGUAUCUAGAUACAUUAAAUUGUUUAGAUCAUGCCGAUUGUCGAUUUGAAAACUCUAUCACCGAAAAUAAAUUAAUAGCAACAGAGACCGAUAGCAUUCCAACUCAACGUUCUCUCCUUCCCUCCCCCACCCCCUCUCUCUCUCUCUCUCUCUCAAUUCUCUCUAUCAAUUUAUAAAUAUCUAUAUUACUUAUAAAAGAGGGAGUUUUAAAAUUUUUCUUUCCCAAAAUGCCGGUCCCUAUUAAUAUAAUUCCAAUUAUAUACUAGCAAUAUUAUUCAUUCAACUUUAAUGAAAUAAAUUAUAGUCGUAUAAUUUUUAUUUUAUUUUUGAAUUAUCAUAAAAUAUAUUAAUUCUUAGUGAUUGGAUCUAAUCGACGAAUUAAUUAUUUGUCACAUUUUUUACCUAAAUUAUUCUCAAAUAGUGUGUAUCAAAUUUUACAUUUUAUAUGCAUAUCCUAUCUUCUAAUAAUUAACCACCGCCCACAUAAUAUCAUAUUUUAUUACAAAUAAUAUUCGCAAUCUAUGGUUUCUUAAAUAUUUUUUUUUCUUAUACGUAAUACCUGCCACCUACAUAAUAUCCAAUGACGUAAUGCCUUCCGCAUAUAUAAUAUUUAAUCAUACUUUUCGAAAGGUAAAAAUAUAUAAAUUAUCUCAAUUUUUUUAAAAUAUGAGAUAUUUUUUAAUAAAAUAUAACAUAUGAAUUUACAAUUCAAAAUUUUAAAUUUGUAGAUAAAUGUGAUUCACAAAUUUAUAUUGAUUUGAGAUAAUUAUUA
rnacentral:lncRNA from 1 species